CCUACGGGUGGCUGCAGUGGGGAAUAUUGGACAAUGGGCGAAAGCCUGAUCCAGCCAUGCCGCGUGUGUGAAGAAGGCCUUCGGGUUGUAAAGCACUUUCAGUGGGGAAGAAAGCCUUGGGGCUAAUACCCUCGAGGAAGGACAUCACCCACAGAAGAAGCACCGGCUAACUCCGUGCCAGCAGCCGCGGUAAUACGGAGGGUGCGAGCGUUAAUCGGAAUUACUGGGCGUAAAGCGCGCGUAGGCGGUCUGAUAAGCCGGUUGUGAAAGCCCCGGGCUCAACCUGGGAACGGCAUCCGGAACUGUCAGGCUAGAGUGCAGGAGAGGAAGGUAGAAUUCACGGUGUAGCGGUGAAAUGCGUAGAGAUCGGGAGGAAUACCAGUGGCGAAGGCGGCCUUCUGGACUGACACUGACGCUGAGGUGCGAAAGCGUGGGUAGCAAACAGGAUUAGAUACCCCUGUAGUC
rnacentral:rRNA from 1 species